rnacentral:rRNA from 1 species
UACGGAGGAUGCGAGCGUUAUCCGGAUUUAUUGGGUUUAAAGGGUGCGCAGGCGGAUAUAUAAGUCAGUGGUGAAAGACCUGGGCUCAACCGAGGGACUGCCGUUGAUACUGUAUAUCUUGAGUGUAGUGGGCGUUGGCGGAAUGUGUCAUGUAGCGGUGAAAUGCAUAGAGAUGACACAGAACACCGAUAGCGAAGGCAGCUGACGAUACUUGCACUGACGCUCAUGCACGAGAGCGUGGGGAUCAAACAGG